rnacentral:rRNA from 1 species
GAUGAACGCUGGCGGCGUGCCUAAUACAUGCCAGUCGAGCGAACAGACGAGGAGCUUGCUCCUCUGACGUUAGCGGCGGACGGGUGAGUAACACGUGGAUAACCUACCUAUAAGACUGGGAUAACUUCGGGAAACCGGAGCUAAUACCGGAUAAUAUAUUGAACCGCAUGGUUCAAUAGUGAAAGACGGUUUUGCUGUCACUUAUAGAUGGAUCCGCGCCGCAUUAGCUAGUUGGUAAGGUAACGGCUUACCAAGGCAACGAUGCGUAGCCGACCUGAGAGGGGGAUCGGCCACACUGGAACUGAGACACGGUCCAGACUCCUACGGGAGGCAGCAGUAGGGAAUCUUCCGCAAUGGGCGAAAGCCUGACGGAGCAACGCCGCGUGAGUGAUGAAGGUCUUCGGAUCGUAAAACUCUGUUAUUAGGGAAGAACAAAUGUGUAAGUAACUAUGCACGUCUUGACGGUACCUAAUCUGAAAGCCACGGCUAACUACGUG